rnacentral:rRNA from 1 species
CCUACGGGAGGCUGCAGUGGGGAAUAUUGCGCAAUGGGCGAAAGCCUGACGCAGCGACGCCGCGUGAGGGAUGAAGGUCUUCGGAGCGUAAACCUCUGUCAGCAGGGAAGAACGGUCACGGGGCUAAUCAGCAGUGAAUGGACGGUACCUGCAAAGGCAGCACCGGCUAACUCCGUGCCAGCAGCCGCGGUAAUAAGGAGGGGGCGAGCGUUAAUCGGAAUUACUGGGCGGAAAGCGCUCGUAGGCGGUAUUUCACGUCAAGGGUGAAAUCCCCGCGCUCAACGUGGGAACUGCCUUUGCAACUGGCAAACUGGAGUGUGUGAGAGGAUAGUGGAAUUCCAGGUGUAGGCGUGAAAUCCGUAGAUAUCUG